rnacentral:rRNA from 1 species
UACGUAGGGUGCAAGCGUUAUCCGGAUUCACUGGGUUUAAAGGGUGCGUAGGUGGGUCUGUAAGUCCGUGGUGAAAUCUCCAAGCUUAACUUGGAAACUGCCAUGGAUACUAUAGGUCUUGAAUCUUCUGGAGGUCAGCGGAAUAUGUCAUGUAGCGGAUGAAAUGCUUAGAUAUGACAUAGAACACCAAUUGCGAAGGCAGCUGACUACAGGGGCAUUGACACUGAGGCACGAAAGCGUGGGGAGUCAAACAGGA